CCUACGGGAGGCAGCAGUGAGGAAUAUUGGUCAAUGGUCGGGAGACUGAACCAGCCAAGCUGCGUGAGGGAGGAAGGUCCAGCGUAUCGUAAACCUCUUUUGUCAGGGAACAAAGCCUGGGACGCGUCCCCGGCUGCGUGUACCUUACGAAAAAGCAUCGGCUAACUCCGUGCCAGCAGCCGCGGUAAUACGGAGGAUGCGAGCGUUAUCCGGAUUUAUUGGGGUUAAAGGGUGCGCAGGCGGGCUGUUAAGUCAGCGGUCAAAGCCCGGGGCUCAACCCCGGCCCGCCGUUGAAACUGGAAGUCUCGAGUUGGCAACAAGCAGGCGGAAUGCGCGGUGUAGCGGUGAAAUGCAUAGAUAUCGCGAAGAACUCCGAUUGCGAAGGCAGCAUGCCGGGUCGAGACUGACGCUGAGGCACGAAAGCGUGGGUAUCGAACAGGAUUAGAUACCCUAGUAGUC
rnacentral:rRNA from 1 species